UCCUUAUCGUCCGCUACCUCCUUGAAAUCCGACUUUAGCGCCGUGGUGGACCGGGCGCCGGAGUCCCGAAGCCCCUCAGUCACCGCCAAUCCGGGCCGCAUUACUCCCGAUAGCGGGGUCGAAACUAGACUCUUUACUCCGGACCUGAUGGUUAAAUCGUCUUCCGUCCCUACGCUACAGCGCCAUCUGUCUUCCAGCGGCGAAAGCGCUCCUUGGGGAAAGCCGGACACCCGAGAUCCCGUAAGAUUUUUAUUUUUAUACAACAAGAAUGACGCGGGUAGUAUAUAUAUAUUUUUUUCGUUUUUGCGCGGCCGCUAUAAAACGACUUUAAUAAACCGACACGCUCUUUCUCGCCACCUUUCCAAAAUUUAUAAAUAAUCGGCGCCGGAAGAAGUCGUUUUUAUUACCUUACCGAAUAAACUUUUUUAUUUUGUGAUUUUAGGAAUUUAAAAUAAUUUUUUUUUUGAAUUUUAAAUAUCGCGCGCUAAAAUGUUUUUGGCCGAUUAACUGGAAUUACGGCCAUAGAUGGCGCGGAUCGGAAACCCAGUCGAGAAUAAAAUUCUCGUAUAAUUUAAAUACAAUAAAUGGGUCGUGCCCGACUGGUAAACAUUAUUAUUAUUAUUAUCGUACAUGGUGAGAAUUAGUUCCUUUUGCGUGUCUUCUUCCAUUAGAAGGAAAAAAUAAAAAUUGUCUACGUUCGGAAUACUAACAGCGCGCUAUAAAAUAUAAAAAAUGGUUAAAAAUUGGUUUCCAUUUUUUCAGAUUUGUUUCGUCUCCAUUAAUCAUUCUCGAUUCACCGGUGAGUUUGUUUUGAUUUUCUAUUAUUAAUUUAAAAUCGUCUGUUUUAAUUGGUGGAUAGCGGCUGACGCCAUAGGCCGACCUGGCCGUAUCGCGCCGCACCGAAAUGUAGGCUAAUGGUGGCUUCGAUGGAAAUUGGGUCGCGUCUUCCGAUUCGGCCACCGGCACCAACCUUAAUUGGGUAGAUCACACGCCGCUGACUUAUUAUUUACCUACACGGGUUUACGUCUGGAGAAAAUCACGUGAUCUCCCCGGGCCGAAUGUCACCGGGAUGGCUAAGGGGGACGGUUCGUUAACCCUGGCCGAUCUAGUUAACCUCCUCCGCCUCCAUCUCUUAACCGAAUAUAAUCUGCAUAGGACAAAUGGAAAACAAUUGCCAAACUGGACACCACCUCCGGUAGAAGUUUAAAUAAAACGGCUAGGACAAAGGAAGGAAUGUUCGGUCCUUCCAGCUGGAGAAUCGAUUCGAAUGCCUACAAAAAUAAAUCUUCGUGAAUUUGUUCGGUUACGCUCGGACAACGGGCCGGCUUUAUCAAUCGACCGGAUGACAUUCACGCUCCGAUUGAUGUCGGUCGGAUCAUUCUUAUUCCGACGUGUUCAGAAAUUGUAUUUUCCGGUGCGUGAACCGGGAAGGUAGUUUUAAUCGAUAUUCUCUGCACUUAAGAAUGGUCGAGUCACCGUGUCUGAAACGUGACAAUGGCUUUAACACUCGGAGUGGCCACUUGUGUCGGCUGCCAGAGGUUGUUUGUUCGGUAGGCGCCCGUUCUCCGGAGUGAAGUGGUGUGGAUCGAGUAGAAAAGUCUCGAUUGU
rnacentral:lncRNA from 1 species